rnacentral:rRNA from 1 species
AGUUUGAUCCUGGCUCAGGAUGAACGCUAGCGAUAGGCUUAAUACAUGCAAGUCGAGGGGCAGCGAGGGUAGCAAUACCUGUCGGCGACCGGCGCACGGGUGAGUAACGCGUAUGUAACCUGCCCGCAACAGUGGAAUAACCCGGCGAAAGUCGGACUAAUACCGCAUAAAACAGGGGUCCCGCAUGGGAAUAUUUGUUAAAGAUUUAUCGGUUGCGGAUGGGCAUGCGUACCAUUAGGUAGUUGGUGAGGUAACGGCUCACCAAGCCAUCGAUGGUUAGGGGUUCUGAGAGGAAGGUCCCCCACACUGGUACUGAGACACGGACCAGACUCCUACGGGAGGCAGCAGUGAGGAAUAUUGGUCAAUGGUCGAGAGACUGAACCAGCCAAGUCGCGUGAAGGAUGACUGCCCUAUGGGUUGUAAACUUCUUUUACAAGGGAAUAAAAUGAGAUACGUGUAUUUUAUUGCAUGUACCUUGGGAAUAAGCAUCGGCUAACUCCGUGCCAGCAGCCGCGGUAAUACGGAGGAUGCGAGCGUUAUCCGGAUUUAUUGGGUUUAAAGGGUGCGUAGGUGGGCUGUUAAGUCAGCGGUGAAAGUUUGUCGCUUAACGAUAAAAUUGCCGUUGAAACUGGUAGUCUUGAGUAUAGAUGAAGUAGGCGGAAUGCGUGGUGUAGCGGUGAAAUGCAUAGAGAUCACGCAGAACUCCGAUUGCGAAGGCAGCUUACUAAUGUAUAACUGACACUGAAGCACGAAAGCGUGGGUAUCAAACAGAUUAGAUACCCUGGUAGUCCACGCAGUAAACGAUGAUUACUAGGAGUUUGCGAUAUAGUGUAAGCUCUACAGCGAAAGCGUUAAGUAAUCCACCUGGGGAGUACGCCGGCAACGUGAAACUCAAAGAAUUGACGGGGCCCGCACAAGCGAGACAUGUGUUUAUCGAUGAUACGCGAGACCUUACCCGGAUGAAUGUAGACGUCGAAGUGAAGCUUCUCCCUCGGCGUCUAUGUAGUGCUGCAUGGUGUCGUCAGCUCUGCUGAGGGUCGGCUAUGGCAAACGAGCCCAACCUGACUGUCAUGCUAAGGUAGCUGAGAUUUGCCGACUGCGCUAACUGUAGAAGUGGAUACCAAUGCAGGCCUUAUCGGACAUCCGGUCAUUGCGGACAAGACCAC